AAUUAGAAGCCAACUGAUGUUCGCGGUAUGAAUACUAUGUCAUCGGGCUAUUUUUACACAUCAUUGCAAUUGCAGUUAUCACUUAAUAUCAACAAUAUAAAAUUGAUGCUGAACAUUCUGUGGUUCCAAGGUACUGAUUACAAGAAGGGCAGGUGUGUUUUUUAACCAGACAACUGUCAUUGCAAUAAACACAUGAGUAAAUAAAUCGGUAAAGUGAACAAAGAAGUAUGAUAAUUGACGGUAGUAAUUAAGAAUUCACCGGAUGUUUAGAGAUGAUCAUAAUAAGUGACAUCGCAUUCCAGCACGUAUUAAGCUAUUUUUAAAAGUUUUUUGUUAGUAUAAUGAUGUCAGAGACGCGACAUUUGACGCUUGACCUUUUGAGGAAAUUUAUGGAGCGAAAUAAAAAGGUCAGUUGUUAGCUUCCAGAAGAUGAGUUUUAUUGUUAUGGAUAUUUUUCUUACCCAACAAGACAAAGCAGCAGAGCAAAGAGAUGAGUUUUGGUACUCGGUUCUGUUUCUACUCUUGUGGAAAUAUCUGCGUGACAAUGAGGACAAUUUAAUCUCAUUGUAUCUGGUCCAAAGGUCGUUUGUUGGAU